AUACGUGACGUACAUACACAAACAAGAUGGCUGCGUUCGAGAUGGCGUUCGCUGGCAGAAGGCAGAGAGAAUCUUCUUCGUCAAAGGUGCUUUUGUCCGUCAUAACCACCUUACUUAGUAGUGAUAAUGUGGAAAGAAGGGAAAUU